UAUAGUGGUUCGUGGGGGUCCAGGAGGUGGAACUUCCCCAAAUAAUCGAAGAUUCUUUGAUCCUGAGUUUUACAGAAUCAUCCUAUUUGAUCAGCGAGGUUCAGCGAAAAGUACUCCACAUGCUUGCUUGGAAGAAAACACCACAUGGGAUCUCAUUAGUGACAUUGAAAAGCUCAGAGAACACCUGGAAAUUCCAGAAUGGCAGGUUUUUGGUGGGUCUUGGGGGAGUACCCUUGCCCUUGCAUAUAGCCAAUCACACCCUGAGAAGGUUACUGGCAUGGUCCUGAGUGGGAG